rnacentral:rRNA from 1 species
CCUUUAAGAUAGCGUAACAGCUCACCGGUCUAAUAGAGUUUCUGCGCCAAAGAUGUAACGGGGCUCAAAUCAUGUACCGAAUCUGUGGGUGUGUAAUGUCUUCGGACUUUACACGCGGUAGCGGAACGUUCUGUAAGCCUGCAAAGGUGUACCCGUGAGGGACACUGGAGGUAUCAGAAGUGCGAAUGCUGACAUAAGUAACGAUUAACAGAGUGAAAAACUCUGUCGCCGAAAAUCCAAGGUUUCCUGCGCAAGGUUAAUCCGCGCAGGGUUAGUCGGCCCCUAAGACGAGGGCGAAAGCCGUAGUCGAUGGGAACAAGGUUAAUAUUCCUUGACCAGAUGAGAGUGACGGAUCUUGUAAAUUGUAAGUUCUUAAUGGAUUGAACUUGCCGUGAAAAGGUCCCAGGAAAUAACCUCAUCAUAGACCGUACCCUAAACCGACACAGGUGGAUUAUUAGAGUAUAAUUAGGCGCUUGAGAGAAUGAUGUUGAAGGAACUCGGCAAAAUGCUUCCGUAACUUCGGAAUAAGGAAGACCUUUGGUUAGGCAACUAACUUUAGGUGGCACAAGCUAGGGAGAAGCGACUGUUUAUCAAAAACACAGGGCUCUGCUAACACGUAAGUGGAUGUAUAGGGUCUGACGCCUGCCCGGUGCUGGAAGGUUAAUAUGGUUGGUGCAAGCUGACUGUUGAAGCCCCAGUAAACGGCGGCCGUAACUAUAACGGUCCUAAGGUAGCGAAAUUCCUUGUCGGGUAAGUUCCGACCUGCAUGAAUGGCGUAACGAUUUCUCCGCUGUCUCCAACAUCAACUCAGUGAAAUUGAAUUCUCCGUGAAGAUGCGGAGUUCCCGUGGUUAGACGGAAAGACCCCGUGCACCUUUACUGCAACUUUACAUUGGUAUUAGAAACGACAUGUUUAGCAUAGGAGGGAGACUUUGAUGUGAUAGCGUCAGCUAUCAUGGAGUCGCCAGUGAAAUACCUCUCUUGUUAUUUUUGAUAUCUAACUGCUAGCCGUAAUCCGGCAGCAAGACACUGUAUGGUGGGUAGUUUGACUGGGGCGGUCGCCUCCCAAAGAGUAACGGAGGCGUGCGAAGGUAGGCUCAGAACGGUCAGAAAUCGUUCGUAGAGUGCAAUGGCAUAAGCCUGCCUGACUGCAAGACUGACAAGUCGAGCAGAGUCGAAAGACGGUCAUAGUGAUCCGGUGGUUCUGAGUGGAAGGGCCAUCGCUCAACGGAUAAAAGGUACGCCGGGGAUAACAGGCUGAUACCCUCCAAGAGUCCAUAUCGACGAG